UACAGAGGUCUCAAGCGUUGUUCGGAUUCAUUGGGCGUAAAGGGUGUGUAGGUGGCGCCGUAAGUCGGGUGUGAAAUCUCGGAGCUUAACUCCGAAACUGCAUUCGAUACUGCCGUGCUUGAGGACUGGAGAGGAGACUGGAAUUCAUGGUGUAGCAGUGAAAUGCGUAGAGAUCAUGAGGAAGACCAGUGGCGAAGGCGGGUCUCUGGACAGUUCCUGACACUGAGACACGAAGGCCAGGGGAGCAAACGGG
rnacentral:rRNA from 1 species